rnacentral:lncRNA from 1 species
UUUUUUGGGCCUUCUCUUUUUUUGGCCUUUCUCUUUUUUUUUCGUCCGGAGUCUCAUCCCGACUUGUGGGGGAAUCAUAGUCUCCAUCAUCCUUUCCUCACUGGGGCAAUGCUCUAAUAAUGAUGAUCAUCACACUUUUAUUUACUUACAACUCAAUAUUACAACUCGAUACUAGAACAAAGAUAUGACUCUAUAUGAAUGCCUCCGGCGGUGUACCGGGAUGUGCAAUGAUCUAGCAUAGCAAUGACAUCAAAAGCGGACAAGCCAUGAAAACAUCAUGCUAGCUAUCUUACGAUCAUGCAAAGCAAUAUGACAAUAAAUGCUCAAGUCAUGUAUAUGAUGAUGAUGGAAGUUGCAUGGAAAUAUAUCUCGGAAUGGCUAUGGAAAUGCCAUAAUAGGUAGGUAUGGUGGCUAUUUUGAGGAAGAUAUAAGGAGGUUUAUGUGUGAUAGAGCGUAUAGUAUCACGGGGUUUGGAUGCACCGGCGAAGUUUGCACCAACUCUCGAGGUGAGAAAGGGCAAUGCACGGUACCGAAGAGGCUAGCAAUGAUGGAAGGGUGAGAGUGCGUAUAAUCCAUGGACUCAACAUUAGUCAUAAAGAACUCACAUACUUAUUGCAAAAGUCUAUUAGCUAUCGAAACAAAGUACUACGCGCCUGCUCCUAAGGGGAUGGAUUGGUAGGAAAAGACCAUCGCUCGUCCCCGACUGCCACUCAUAAGGAAGACAAUCAAUAAACACCUCAUGCUCCAACUUCGUUACAUAACGGUUCACCAUACGUGCUUGCUACGGGACUUGCAAACCUCAACACAAGUAUUUCUCAAUUUCACAAUUACUCAACUAGCACGACUCUAAUAUCACCACCUUUAUAUCGCAAAACUAUGCAAGGAAUCAAACAUAUCAUAUUCAGUGAUCUACAAGUUUUAUGUAGGGUUUUAUGACUAACCAUGUGAAUGACCAGUUCCUGUCAUCUCUCUAAAUAGAUAUAAGUGAAGCACGAGAGUUUAAUUCUUUCUACAAAAGAUAUGCCCACGCUCUAACAAAUAUAAGUGAAGCAAAAGAGCAUUCUAUAAAUCAACCAAGGACUAUCUCAUACCAGCAUGGUGCAUAAAAGGAAAGUGAAAACUAAAUGCAAAAGACGCUCCAAGAUUUGCACAUAUCACAUGAAUGAAACGAAUCCGAAAACAUACCAAUAUUUGUUUAAGAAAGAGGGGAUGCCUUCUGGGGCAUCCCCAAGCUUAGACGCUUGAGUCUCCUUGGAUAUUUACUUGGGGUGCCUCGGGCAUCCCCAAGCUUGAGCUCUUGCCUCUCUUCCUUCUUCUCACAUCGAAACCUUCUCGAUCAUCGAACACUUCAUCCACACAAAACUUCAACAGAAAACUCGGUAAGAUCCGUUAGUAUAAUAAAGUAAAUCACUACUCUAAGUACUGUUGCAAACCAAUCAAUAUUUUGUUUUUGCAUUGUGUCUACUGUAAUAUAACUUUUUCAUGGCUUAAUCCACUGACAUAAAUUGAUAGUUUCAUCAAAACAAGCAAACUAUGCAUCAAAAACAGAAUCUGUCUAAAACAGAACAGUCUGUAAUAAUCUGAACAUUCACCAUACUUCUGAUACUUGACAAAUUCUGCCAAAAUUAGGAAAAAUAAACAAUUUGUAUAGAAAGACAGUUCAAAAAGAAUCAGAACCAUUUGACGUUCCAGUAAAAAAUUAAAAAUCGCGCACUACAUCCAAAGUUUCUGUCCUGCACCGUACAAACCAACAAGUAUUGUAAACAUCCUAAAGGCAAACCUUGGCACAUUAUUUUUAUAAUACAAUGGAAUUGUACAAGGGGAUAAUUAUUUUUAUUGAAAAGUUUCUGUAAUUAAGAUUCAUAAAGUUUCCUUGAGCAUGAACAAAGUUCAAGGAGCUCUCCCACUUCAACAAUGCUUGUCUCUCUCACUUUCACUUUUCUUUUUAAAAAAGUUUUGGGUUCCCCUCUUUAUUUUUGUUGUUUUUAAACUAUAUGAAAGCACUCAACAGAAAUAAAUGACUCUCUAAAACUUCCGGGUUGUCUCCCUGGCAGCGCUUUCUUUAAAGCCAUUAAGCUAGGCAUAUAGUGCUCAAGUAGUGAAUCCACCCGGAUCCCAAGGUAUAUCAAAGCCAAUUUUAAUUAACAAUGAUUUGUAAUUUAGUAGUGAGCACAAAGUAACAUAUAUCAUGUAAUGACGAAGUCUAACUCUCUUCCUUUGCAUCGGCAUGUCAUAAAAGAACAAUUCAUGCACACAUAGUAAAGGCCAAUGCAUAGUAUAAACAGUUUCUUGCAAUUUUAUUGUGUGGGAAACAUAGAGAGGUGGAGAUAUAGUUCCUCUCUCAUAAUAAUUGCAAGUAGGAGCAGCAAGCACAUGCAUAUUAUAUCUAUCAAAAUCAUCAUGUGCAACGGUAAAAGGCAACCCAUCAAUGUAAUCCUUAAUAAGUGCAAACUUCUCCGAUAUAGUGUAGUUUGGAGAAUUCAAAAAGAUAAUAGGACUAUCAUGCGUGGGUGCAAUAGCAACAAUUUCAUGUUCCAUAAGGAACUAUAGCAAGUUCAUCUCCAUAAGCAUAAUUCAUAUUGGCAUCUUGGCCACAAGCAUAGCAAGCAUCAUCAAAAAGGGAUAUUUCAAGAGAAUCAACGGGAUCAUAAUAGUCAUCAUAGCAAUGAUCCUUCGGUAAGCAUGAAGGGAAAUUAAACAAUGUAUGAGUUGGAGGUUUACUCUCAUUAGAAGGUGGGCACGGGUAGCUAAUCUGCUCUUCCUCCUUUUGUUCUUCGCUCUCCUUCUCAUCUUUUUCAUCCAAUGGGCUCACAGUUUCAUCAAUUUCUUCUUCAAUAGACUCCUGCAAAAUAUUAGUCUCUUCUUGGACAGCGGGGUAAUCCUCAAUAAGCAUUAGAAGCAUAAUUAUCAUAGAAAUAUUUAAGUAUGGCAAAAUUUUCAGAUUUGUAAAGAGUAGCACCAUACGUUUCAAUCAAAGAAGCAAUUUCAUAAGCACCUUUAAAAGCAACAAAUUCUUCAAUUUGUUGAAUAUCAUAGUAACUAUAAACACCCUUAGCAUACGAAGAUAAGAUUCCAUUAUCAAUAAACUCACAUUGGUAGGGAAGGUGUUUCUUAGGGUUUUCAGAACAACAAGUAACAUCAUACAUAUAACAUAAAUUCCAAGCAUAGCAUUGCAAACGAUGAAUUUGACCCAAUAGAAUUUUCCCUUUUCAGAUAUUCGGUGUCGCGCAUAACAAGCAUGCUCAUCUAAAGAUUUGCCCUCAACUAAGCUAGUUGGGGUUUCAGCACGAGCACAUAGGGAUCAAAGAUGAUCCAAGUAAUAAGCUUCAGGAGUGUGAUAGAUUUUGAGUGGUUCUUCAACCAUUGUUCAGUAGGUACAACUAAUUUUUUUGGUAUUUUGCGUUUCCUACCCAUAACUAAAGAUAGAAAAUAACUAAGAACAGCAAAUAAAAAUUACUUAGUGAUAAAGCAAACAAGCACACACGAGAAUAUUCACCCCACGCUAUUGCUCCCCGGCAACGGCGCCAGAAAAAGGUCUUGAUAACCCACAAGUAUAGGGGAUCAAUUGUAGCCUCUUUCGAUAAGUAAGAGUGUCGAACCCAACGAGGAGCUAAAGGUAGAACAGAUAUUCCCUCAAGUUCUAUCGACCACUGAUACAACUCUACGCCACACUUGACGUUCGCUUUACCGGAAACAAGUAUGAAACUAGAAGUACUUUGUAGGUGUUUUUGGAUAGGUUUGCAAGAAAGUAAAGAGAGCGUAAAUAAAAGCUAGGGGCUGUUUAGAUAAAGACACAACUAAAUUAGUUUAAAGAGCUUUUUGUUACGAGAAAGUUAUUUGUCCCUAGGCAAUCGAUAACUAGACCGGUAAUCAUUAUUGCAAUUUUAUUUGAGGGAGAGGCAUAAGCUAACAUACUUUCUCUACUUGGAUCAUAUGCACUUAUGAUUGGAACUCUAGCAAGCAUCCGCAACUACUAAAGAUCAUUAAGGUAAAACCCAACCAUAGCAUUAAAGCAUCAAGUCCCCUUUAUCCCAUGCGCAAACAACCUAUUUACUCGGGUAUGUGCUUCUGUCACUCACGCCACCCACCAUAAGCAAAUCAUGAACAUAUUGCAAACCCUACAACGGGAAUCCCUCACGCUUGCGCGACACGGAGAGCACCAUAGGACAGCACCAAUAAUAAAACAUGCAACUCAAACCAAUCUUGAUCAUCAAAUAGCCCAUAGGACAAAACGAAUCUACUCAAACAUCAUAGGAUAGCCAUACAUCAUUGGGAAAUAAUAUAUAGCGUUGAGCACCAUGUUUAAGUAGAGAUUACAACGGGUAAGAGAGAGGUUACACCGCUGCAUAGAGGGGGGAAGAGUUGGUGAUGAUGGCGGUAAAGUUGUUGGUGAAGAUUGCGGUGAUGAUGAUGGCCACGGCGGCGUUCUGGCGCCACCGGAAGAGAAGGGGAGAGGGGUCCCCUUCGUCUUCUUCUUCCUUGACCUCCUCCCUAGAUGGGAGAAGGGUUUCCCCUCUGGUCCUUGGCCUCCAUGGCGUGGGAGGGGCGAGAGCCCCUCCGAGAUUGGAUCUGUCUCUCUCUCUGUUUCUGCGUUCCGUUCUGCUGCCCUUUCACCGUUUCGUAUAUAUAUGGAGAUCCGUAACUCCGAUUGGACUGAAACUUUCACCGUGAUUUUUUUACCAAAAAUUAGCUUUCUUGCGGCCGAAGAAGGGCAUCAACCGCCUUACGGGUGGCCCACGAGGGUCAGGGGCGCGCCUAGGGGGGCAGGGGCACCCCCUGCCUCGUGGCCACCUCGGGCACCGUCUCGCGUGGAUUUUUCUUCCGGAAUUUUCCAAAUAUUCCAAAAAUAAGCCCCGUCCGUUUUCAUCCCGUUUGGAUUCCCUUUGAUAUGGAUAUUCUGCGAAACAUAAAACAUGCAACAAACAGGAACUGGCACUGGGCACUGGAUCAAUAUGUUAGUCCCAAAAAUAGUAUAAAAAGUUGCCAAAAAGUAUAUAAAGUUGAAUAAUAUUGGCAUGGAACAAUCAAAAAUUAUAGAUACGACGGAGACGUAUCAUUGCUCCACCGACAUACUCCUUCCUCCUAUAUAUACCUACGUACCCCCAAACUACCAGAUACGGAGCCAAAAACCUAAUUCCACCGCCGCAACCUUCUGUACCCGUGAGAUCCCAUCUUGGGGCCUGUUCCGGAGCUCCGCCGGAGGGGGCAUCGAUCACUGAGGGCUUCUACAUCAACACCAUAGCCUCUUCGAUGAUGUGUGAGUAGUUUACCUCAGACCUUCGGGUCCAUAGUUAUUAGCUAGAUGGCUUCUUCUCUCUUUUUGGAUCUCAAUGCAAUGUUCUCCCCCUCUCUCGUGGAGAUCUAUUCGAUGUAAUCUUCUUUUGCGGUGUGUUUGUUGAGACCGAUGAAUUGUGAGUUUAUGAUCAAGUUUAUCUAUGAACAAUAUUUGAAUCUUCUCUGAAUUCUUUUAUGUAUGAUUGGUUAUCUUUGCAAAUCUCUUCGAAUUAUCAGUUUGUUUUGGCCUACUAGAUUGAUCUUUCUUGCAAUGGGAGAAGUGCUUAGCUUUGGGUUCAAUCUUGCGGUGUCCUUUCCCAGUGACAGUAGGGGCAGCAAGGCACGUAUUGUAUUGUUGCCAUCGAGGAUAACAAGAUGGGGUUUAUUUCAUAUUGCAUGAGUUUAUCCCUCUACAUCAUGUCAUCUUGCUUAAAGCGUUACUCUGUUCUUUUGAACUUAAUACUCUAGAUGCAUGCUGGAUAGCGGUCGAUGUGUGGAGUAAUAGUAGUAGAUGCAGGCAGGAUUCGGUCUACUUGUCUCGGACGUGAUGCCUAUAUACAUGAUCAUACCUAGAUAUUCUCAUAACUAUGCUCAAUUCUGUCAAUUGCUCAACAGUAAUUUGUUCACCCACCGUAAAUACUUAUGCUCUCGAGAGAAGCCACUAGUGAAACCUAUGGCCCCCGGGUCUAUUUUCCAUCAUAUUAAUCUUCCAACACUUAGCUAUUUCCAUUGCCUUUUAUUUUGCUUUUAUUUUACUUUGCAUCUUUAUCACAAAAAUACCACAAAUAUUAUCUUAUCAUAUCUAUCAAAUCUCACUCUCGUAAGUGACCGUGUAGGGAUUGACAACCCCUUAUCGCGUUGGUUGCGAGGAUUUAUUUGUUUGUGUAGGUGCGAGGGACUCGUGUGUAGCCUCCUACUGGAUUGAUACCUUGGUUCUCAAAAAUUGAGGGAAAUACUUACGCUACUUUGCUGCAUCACCCUUUCCUCUUCAAGGGAAAACCAACGCAGUGCUCAAGAGGUAGCAAGUACCGCAUUACGCUUAUCUUAAGCUUAAGAUGCCCGGUCCACGUGGCACCAUCAUAGUUAGCGGAAACAUAGAGCGUCCCUUGCGUACGGAAUAAUGUGUGGAGGCUUUAGUAGCUGAACACUGACUGGCCUCUCCAACCAGAAUAAACGAUCGGUCGUCAAGACCGCGGACACGGCUAGACGAGUCCGACACACCACUAGCUGUAACAACCCAGAUAAACCUGAGAUGGGGUUGAUGGAUUUACCCCCAUAGGUGGUGCUAGGGGCUUCCCGCAUAUAAAAAGGACUACAGUUCGGCUUGACCUUAUUUUGAUUGAAUUUUAAUAGUUCAUUAAGAAUAAUCAUUUUUUCGCACGAAGACUUUCAUCUGGGUUUUUUCUUUUGCAUAUGAUCAUCGUGCCACACCCUUCCAGGAUACGGCACAACGGAGACACAGGCGCAGACGUGCAGCAGGGCCCUGCUCAAAGGUUUCUUUUUAGAUUAAGACCCUGUGUAAACCUUUCUUACUGUCUCUUGUUGCUGUACACCCUCCGGAUAUUCAACACAACCGAGAGGGAUGCUGGCGUUAUUGGCAUUUCGCCACGUCAGACUAAUGCACGUACCUGGAAAUUUAGGGUUUAUCGAGGGCGUUACCCAGCCCAGCAUAUGUUGUAAAGUCCGAAUACCUUAGGGAGUGUUCGGCGUCGCGAGUUUGGCCUUAUAUGCACCAGCUCCGAAUCAUGUCUUUGGUCAAUAGUUGGGUUUGCCCGGCUCCCGUGUUUUGCUACCUUAUGUUCCGCUCUAUCGGCUAAGGUGGCACCGGGAGAACUGCUGCGAUUGUGCCCUGGUUCAUCUGGAUGAGCACCUCAGCAGAGAAAGCCGAAAACUGACUGUCAUGAUAAAGCGCGAGACUGGUCAACCACUCGGUGACUCACCGAAAUCUUCGCGAUUCCUCCGCAUUAACGAAGGACCGGUUUCCCGGUCAUGUAUGUACGCGCACCGUAUUCGGAUAGACGUGGAAGUACCAGGGGCUAUAUAGUAGCCCCACCGUCAAACUCCUAUGGCUAAGUGAAAGUGUUAAAGCAAUAUAGUCGGAUUGCCUUGUUCGCCGUGCUAUCACCUCCUUAAUGGACUAAGACGUUGGAUCAAGUGUGAAUACGCGCUUUUCCGAACACCCCCGCAUUAUAUGUGUGGGGGCUAAAGCCGACGACUGCAAACUUUCAGGGUAUAUACAUACAUAAACAGCCGCACAGGAGGCAACAUAAUACUUACAGGCAAAAGUAUAAACACAGCCUUUAUAAUCAUAAUAGCAUUGUUUUUACAAUUGGGAUACAUGUCACUAGAACAUGAUACUCUUCGAGCACUGAGCCUCUAUUGAACGAGCGCCUUCUAGGACUUCUUCAAAAUAGUGCUCGGUCAAUACCUGGCCUACGGCCGAACUCUGGGUUGCAAUAGCGCUGGCCUGCAUCUAUGCCCGGUAUGUCUUAACAUGGGCAAAAUCCAUCCGCGCACCCUCUAUGCACGCCGACCUCUUUGCAGCGUCGAUAUGCGGCACAGCACCAAGGAAUCGUUGCACUAAACCAAAAUAACUAUUCGGCCUUGGUCCUUCCGGCCAAAGAUGAUCCAUGACAGACCUCAUGGCAAGCCCGGACAACCUAUGGAGCUCAGCCCACUCGGCCAUUUGCUCAUUUAACAGCAGAACUGAACUGUGACCAGAACAACUUUUCCACUUCAUGAUCUUUUUGAUCUUUGAAAAACUCAGUCGCAUCAGUAGCACUCGCUGCCAAGUCCAAGUACGCGUCUGCAGCACUCCAUAAUUGAUCCAGAGGGGCAUACUUCGGAUCUCCGAACUUCGUCCGCAACAAAAAGGGCUUCCCAGCCGUGAUAUCUCCGGCUUGAUGAAGCUCCUCCUUCGCCACUCUGAUUUUUGAGCGGGUCUCCUUGGCUGCUACCAUGGCUUUCUUCAGGUCCGCCACUUUCGCUUGGCUUUCCUUUUCAAGAAGCUCAUACCGGUCGGCGGCAUCCUUCAGCUCAACAGCCAUCUUGGCUAUUUCAUCUUUGCUCUGGCGAUGAGUAGCCUGUUCGGCUCUUAAUUCUUCGACCGCCUUUAGGGCGGCCGCAUCACUUCUCCUGGCUUGAUCCUUGGCUCGGGCAAGCUCCGCCCGAAGGGUCUCCACGGCGGCAGCUCCAUCUGCAGUAAAGGCAUAUUAUAGAUACUAGCAUCAUGCUCCUCUUAAAUAUCUGUUAACAAACGGAGAAUACAUACCCUGUGCCUCGUCAAGCCACUUGUUUACAAGCACGGUGUCAGCAUCUGCUGCAUCAAGUUGCCGCUUCAGUUCGGCAAACUCACCAGUCCGGCUAGCCACCGGACCCUCAGCCGCCUGCACAUGAAAGCAGCAUGAUCAUCACCUGGGACUAUGAUCCUCUGUUUGCCGCCUUUAGGACAGCAACUAGAGUCUCAGGGGCUACUAUCUGUAUAGGGCACACCUAGCGUGUGCGGUACCGUCAAAAUAUAUAUACUUUGCGUACCUCAAAGCCUUUUAGCAGGCUCAUAAAAGCUUCAUGCAACCCACUUCUGGCGAUGAAAUCCUCUCAACCACCGUACCCAUUAAAGUACGAUGCGCCUCUGAGAUAGCCGCUUGCUCCAGAAGACCCAUCAGUACGUCCGGUUGUGCACCGGACAGUCCCGGACUCUUUCUGUUGCUCUCCUUAGGAGCCGAAUCCUCCGGACUUCGGGUGGCCGAAGGGUUACCUUCCGGCCUUGGCGGAUCAGGAGAAAUCCUCCGUGACGACACCUCAGGGUCGUCGGCCUCAUGAGGCGGGGAGACAGGGGGAGGCAUUUCGCUCUCCAUCAUCUCCGGAAGAAGAUCCCCGAAGACGAACUCUGUCGAGAAGGGCUAUGAUCCGAACUGCAAGACAUACGUCUCGGUUAUUGUCCUCAGAGAUGAAGCAGGAUAUAUUUACCAAAAGUACUCUUGUUCACUUACAGCUCGGUGAAGGGUUGAUCCCCUCGCGGGCACUAUGCGGUAAGGAUUCCCUCCGGGGCAGGGCCCUCUGGUGAAGGUUUCUUCCCUCGUUUGGAAACUCUUGUUUCCAAGUCUUCAGAGGCGGUCCUUUUCCUUCCUUGGGGAGAGGGAAUUUCCGAUUCUUCUCCCCGGUUAUCCUCCUUCGCGGAGACACUAAUUCCCUCGGUUUGGAUGAGUAAUGAGUGAGGCCCGCUUUCGGCUUCUUUAUUCCUCCCUUUAUCUUCCCCUGAUGGCGCUUGAUAAGGUGCGAGCUCAAGCAUCCUGGCUAGUACAGGAUCCGGUGAGCCCUCGGGAAGGGGGGCCGAACACCUGAUCAUCUUCGCCUUUUUUAUCCAGUCCUGGUCAAAGAGCGACUUCAGAAUGAUGUUGUGACAAAUUAAAAGACAGCAUGGUCGGCUGCAGAAUUACUUACGUGGGUAUCUGGACGAUUGCAGUUUAGACCCGCAUCCUCGGUGGUGUCCGGACACUUUAUUCGUGAUCCGAAGAACAAUCCAUACAUCUCUUCGAGUGUCACGCCGAAGAAUUGCUGAAUAGUUCGCGGUCCUUCCGGGUUGAACUCCCACAUACGGAGAGGUCGACGUUGGCAUGGCAGGACCCGACGAACUAGCAUGACUUGCAUUACCUUGACAAGGCCGACAUCUCUCUUGAGGAGAUCUCGGAUGCGACUCUGCAAUGUCGGCACGUCAUUAACUGGCCCCCAGUCCAGCCCCUUGUUGACCCAUGACGCCAGUUGUGGCGGGGGGCCCGAACGGAAGGCGGGGGCAGCUGCCCACUUAGUACUUCGGGGAGCCGUGAUGUAAAACCACUCCCGCUGCCAUAAGUUGGACAUCUCCGGGAAGGAACCCUUUGGCCAUGGAGCAUCGGCGCCUUUGCUUAUUAUGGCACCUCCGCAUUCCACGUGUCGCCCAUCGAUCAUCUUCGGCUUCACAUUGAAGGUCUUGAGCCAUAAGCCGAAGUGUGGAGUGAUGCAGAGGAAGGCCUCACACACGACGAUAAACGACGAGAUGUGAAGGAUGGAAUCUGGAGCUAGAUCAUGGAAAUCGAGCCCGGAACAGAAGCCCUCUAACAAAGGGAUCAAGACUAAAGCCUAGCCCUCGGAGGAAGUGGGAAACAAAUACGACACUCUCGUUGGGUUCGGGAGUAAGGAUGACCUGCCCUGGAGCAGGCAGCCUGUGCGAGAUUUCAGCGGUCAGAUACUUGGCUUCUCUUAGCUUCUUGAUGUCCUCCUCUGUGACAGAAGAGGCUAUCCACCGGCCUUGAAGGUUGGAUCCGGACAUGAUUGAAGGUCCGAAGCGCUUAGCCAGAGCCUCGGGUGUUGGAAUUCGAGGUGGGGGAAGGGAAGGAUCGAGCGCGAGAAGAAAAGGACAGGCCUUGGCCCCUUUAUAAAGAGGGUGAAUAUCAAGUGUCCUCCGCGUGACCGUUUGGAACUUGCCUAAAAUCGAGGAGUCAUACCAACGGGCACGAUUGGGUUACCCACACCCAUAUUGAUGAGAAUCCCGUGAUAAGAGGAACACGAUCUCUGCUUCGACAAGACGUGCUAAUAAAACCGCCUCGCAACACAUGCAGUGGCAGGCUGGGAAAAACGGUUCGUCAUGACCAGACCACGGCAGAACGUCACGCUAUGAAAAGUUGUCAGCAGAUUAGAUUUGUGGGAAUAUUAUACUCUCUACGGUGGUAUGUGAAAUUUGUUUUGCAGAGCCGGACACGAUCCUAGUGUUCGAAAUCUUCUAUGGAGUAUUCGGAGGAGGAACCCGCCUUGCAAUGCCGAAGACAAUCUGUGGGCCGGACUCAUCUUCAUUGAAGCCUGGUUCAAGGGCUACUAAGGGAGUCCUGGAUUAAGGGGUCCUCGGACAGCUGGACUAUAUACUUCUGCCGGACUGUUGGACUAUGAAGAUACAAGAUUCAAGAAUUCGUCCCGUGUCCGGGUGGGACUCUCCUUUGCGUGGAAGGCAAGCUUGGCAAUACAGAUAUGUAGAUCUCCUCCCUUGUAAUCGACUCUGUGUAACCCUAGCCCCCUCCGGUGUCUAUAUAAACCGGAGGGUUUAGUCCGUAGGACAACAACAAUCAUAAUCAUAGGCUAGCUUCUAGGGUUUAGCCUGUACGAUCUCGUGGUAGAUCAACUCUUGUAAUACUCAUAUCAUCAAGAUCAAUCAAGCAGUAAGUAGGGUAUUACCUCCAUCGAGAGGGCCCGAACCUGGGUAAACAUUGUGUCCCCCGCCUCCUGUUACCAUCCGCCUUAGACACACAGUUCGGGACCCCCUACCCGAGAUCCGCCGGUUUUAACACCGACAGUCAUAAAACCAAACUAGGCAACAUGAGCUCUCUAUACGUUCACGGCGCAGACGUCAUCGUGUUUCUUGCACUUGGCGACCACCUCCACGCCAUCGUCGUUGAAGAAGAUCACCUUCAGGGUGACGGGGGUCAGUAGCUUGAAUGUGACCGUGUGCCAAUCCUGAUUUGGUGGAUGGCGGCGAGGGGGGACCGACCCUGAUCAAGGGUGACCCUGCCAUUAAUAACCCGAACCGUGACCCUCCAUGCGCAACCGGUGUUCAUUUUCAGCUUGAACUCCUGAGGGGCGGUGAGGACGUGCUUCAUGAAGUCUAGAGGCAUAGGUAGGCACUCCAACUUCGUGGCAAGGAUCAUCUUACAAAGUGGGUUGGCCCUGCCUCCUCGUGAUAGUGGUCGUAGUUCCUCCCCUUACCCGCUGGAGGGCUCCUACACCACGUCAUCCUCCAAGGGCGGCACCACCUCCUUGCCCUUCUCUCUGGGCUCUGCCACCUCCGUGUUGAAUUUCAUUAUGAACAUCACGAAGUUCAAAGACCAGCAUUCAUUCCUAUCAUCCAAAGAUCCUAUAUUUAUCCACCCUACUUACCCACCACCACACUCAAAUCCUAUCUGUCUCUCACUGUCACUCAUCUUCCACCUCUCUUUUUCACCACCUCUCCAUCGCCAUGAACCACAUCCCCAACUCCUUCAAGAAACAACGCAACGCCUUGAGACCACCUCCGCGUGUGCAACCGCCCACACCCACGUGCCUCAGGUUGCAUCGCUCGGGCCUGCCUGCAGAAAAACGACUGAUUCGCCCCCUGCUAGACCCAAACCCAAAGGUGCUUUAAGGUUCGUCAUGCCAGCUUUGUGACGCGACUCACAAUUAAACGGAUCAAUUUCUUCCAGCGCGGGACUGAGCUAAAUGCAUCCAUAGCAUACCUUCCUAUAUGAAUUUUGAUUUUGCUAACCACAUGUCCCAUGCGGUCAUAGCAUACCUUCCUGAGAGCGCAUAUUCCCCUUUCCCGGCGUCGUGACUGGUUGAUGCAAAGUAAAGUAACGUGUAAUAGGCGACGCAUAUCCUCUCGAAAUGCGGAUCACUACAUUUUCCAUGCUCUCUGUGCAGUGCAACGUGCCCAACGUCCAUCUCAGCUAGCUCCUUCCCCUCCCCUGGAGCACGACGUCGAUGCCGGACCGCGUCCAGGUUCAUCCUCGGGUGACCGGUGGUGUGCUGCGUCAGGCGCAAGAUCAGUAGGAGAGUAGGAGUAUUUGUUAUUCGGUCACCCCUCCAAUAAUGAACUUGAUAAUUACCAACAACUCUGUCUCGAGAGAUAAACAUGAUGCAGAGGACGAGACUCGGAGUCGCUCAAACAAACCCAAGUCCAGCUUGUUUUUAUACUCCACUUUACACAAGAAGCCAUACGUGUUACAGAGUCAAGUCAACAGGACAAGCCGCGCCUAAUUAACAAAAACAAAAAAUAGUGGCUGGCUGGCAUCUCGGGCCGUGAUGCCAUCAAGAUUCGUCCGUCGCCGGUGGCGGUAGGUGUGGUGGGGCGGUUGGUCAGCUGGUCGGUUGCCCCGGCCGGUCACGGUCAGUGGGCGGCGACGGCGCCGUUGCAGCGCCGCUGGCAGAAGUUGGGGACGCGGUCCAUGCACUGGUACACGGCCGGGUGCACGGCGAGGGGUGACUUGACGCAGUCCCGGCACGCCGGGUGGCACCCGCCGGGCGCCGCGUCCAUGCACCGGCACUGCGGCGAGUCCGACUUGGUGCACCCGCCGCAGCUGUCGCAGCACGGCCACGCUCUCCCCCUCGCCUUCGCCGCCGCCGCCGAGGACGACUGCUCUCCCUCUCCUCCGUGCCCUGCAAACCCAGAGAUAAUUUCAUCCCCAAUUAGUCACGCACAACACAAGCUGAUUAAUCUCAUCUGCCAC